rnacentral:ribozyme from 12 species
UGAUGCAGGGCAAAGCUACAUGCAAGAAUGCACGUGUUUGGAAACAAGCAACAAAGAAACAAAAAUCAAGAAUGGAAAAACAAGAAACAAAUAUAUUUACAUACUAUUAUUAUAUUCACAUUUCAACGGGAUGGAUGUUGUUAUUUUUAAGAAUGAUGUAUUAUCUUUCGUAAACUAAAUAAAUAAUUGUCUUAGAGAAACAAGAAAAUGAAGCGUAU